UUCAUUACUGCACUGAAGUACUUAGUGUUAGAGUCCCCAAGUUGUAUCCAUUUUUCUCUUGCCUUCUGUUGCAGAACACUUUCCUCAAUCAGUGACCAUUUUUCCAGUUGUAGGACCAACUCCUUCACCUUUUGUUGUACGCCAUCAGUGUAUGCUUGACUCAGCUGGGCUUGUAAGGUCCCUAGUUCCUGUCGACACUGUUCUAUUUUGUGUGAAAUUGUCUUGAAUUCCUUAUUAUUCAGGGUCUUCAAGGGACUCUUCAAGGCAUUGAGUUUGUCCGAUAUUGAUCUCAUUGUGUCUGCCUUCCC
rnacentral:lncRNA from 1 species